AGCUUGCUAUGAUAGAAAUUAGUGGCAGACGGGUGAGUAAUGCAUAGGAAUCUACCUAGUAGUAUGGGAUAGCCACUAGAAAUGGUGGGUAAUACUGUAUAAUCCCUGCGGGGGAAAGAUUUAUCGCUAUUAGAUGAGCCUAUGUUAGAUUAGCUAGUUGGUAGGGUAAAGGCCUACCAAGGCAGUGAUCUAUAGCUGGUCUGAGAGGAUGAUCAGCCACACUGGAACUGAGAUACGGUCCAGACUCCUACGGGAGGCAGCAGUGGGGAAUAUUGGACAAUGGGCGCAAGCCUGAUCCAGCUAUGCCGCGUGAGUGAGGAAGGCCUUAGGGUUGUAAAACUCUUUCAGUGGGGAAGAUAAUGACGGUACCCACAGAAGAAGUCCCGGCAAACUCCGUGCCAGCAGCCGCGGUAAUACGGAGGGGGCAAGCGUUGUUCGGAAUUAUUGGGCGUAAAGGGCAUGUAGGCGGUUCGGUAAGUUAAAGGUGAAAUGCCAGGGCUUAACCCUGGAGCUGCUUUUAAUACUGCCAGACUCGAGUCCGGGAGAGGAUAGCGGAAUUCCUAGUGUAGAGGUGAAAUU
rnacentral:rRNA from 1 species